GCCUGUAUUCAAUCUACAAACACUAAAAACAAGUUUACUACUCGUAUUUUACUCGUAUUCUACUCGUAUGUACUCGUAUUAUACUCGUAUGUACUCGUAUGUACUUGUGUUUUACUCGUAUGUACUCGUGUGUUACUCGUAUGUACUCGUAUGUUACUCGUAUGUACUCGUAUGUUACUCGUAUGUUACUCGUAUGUACUCGUGUGUUACUCGUAUGUACUCGUAUGUACUUGUGUGUUACUCGUAUGUUACUCGUAUGUACUCGUGUGGCGUUUUAGUCACGAUCAAUUUCGGGAACAUUAGUUUAAUUCAUUAUCUUUGUAUUUAAAAUCAACACAAAUUUUGUAUUAGUGGACAUUGAAUAUAAAAAGGCUAUAGUAGUAUAAAUGUAGCAUAUAUGUAAAAUGCGCAAAGCAUGGCCAGAAAUCACGGACAUGAUUUAUUCUACUUCCUUUGUAAUUUGCAUAUCACGUUGAAAUAUGGCUUCUGCAGUAAACAGUACAUUAUAUUACGGGAUGCAGUAAAUCCCAAAAUCAGAGAAUAUGGUAGGUCGUUUGCAAAUUGCCUCAGUCGCUGGCUAUAAAUCAAAGUCUGUCGAAGUAUUUAGCGUAAUGUUGACUUGAUUUUAGUUCGUGACCAUUCUGCAUUUUCGGUAUUUGACAGAGGUUAGUUUGUACGAAAUUUGUCUAUUUAACUCUAUAUAUAUAGAUAUAUAAUAAUACCGCACUAUAGCCACUAGAAAAAAACGGAAAUGCAGAAUUGGCAGUAACUUACACCAGGCAAACACCACACGAUAUAUUUCAACAGACCGUGUUCUGCAACAAGCAAUCGAGGCAAAUUGCAAACGACUACCAAUAUUCUCUGAUUUUGCGAUUUAAAGCAUCGGGUAAUAUAUUUUACUAUGCUAUCGAAGCCACAUUGCAACGGGUUAUGUAUUAAUGAUAUGCAAAGUUAGUAAGGAAGUA